AGAGAAAGCGAAACAAAGACAAGGCUCGGCAACAUAAUAUAUUAUUAUUAUUAUUUCCAAUUUAUCUCGGAUGCCGGCUUGACCGACCCGUGGCGUAAUAUAAUAUUACGACACAAAUAAUAUUAACGUGACAUAUUGUCUCGAAUCACAGUACCAGCAUUUUCUCGCGUAGACUGUUUAUUGGAAUUGAUCCUAGUCACAUGACCUUUUUAAAAUUUUGUAUCAUAUUUGUUGUCAUCACAAUCUCACGCGGAAAGAACCAAAAUGUACAUACAUGUAUACAGAAUGAUCCAUUUGUUAUGGUCUAGCCAUUUUCUCGGAAGAUUUGAAGUGAUUAGAUA